UCUCACUGGGACAAUUCUAAACCCAGAGGCGCAGUGAAAGCGGGGCGCUCCCCCUCCGGUGGGUCGCCGUUGGGAGGAUGGCUCGUCGGCCCCGCGCAAUCGAUCGUCCGCGGCCCACACUCUCGGGUCGCCUCGGCCGCAGGCGCACCCAGAGCGUACACGUUGGGACCCGAAAGAUGGUGAACUAUACCUGGUCAGGACGAAGUCAGGGGAAACCCUGAUGGAGGUCCGAAAAUCAAUCGCCAGAGCUGGGUAUAGGGGCGAAAGACUAAUUGAACCAUGUAAUAGCUGGUUCCCUCCGAAGUUUCUCUCAGGAUAGCUGGCGCCCAUUUGGAUGCAGACGAGUCUCAUCCGGUAAAGGGAAUGAUUAGAUGCUUUGGGGCCGAAAAUACGACCUAUUUUCAAACUUUAAAUUGGAAGGAACUUCGGCUUGCUUUACUGAAGCCGCGAGAGGAUUGUGAUCUUGGAUCAGUGUGCCAAGUGGGCCAUUUUUAGUAAGCAGAACUGGUGCUGUGGCAUGAA
rnacentral:rRNA from 1 species